GCUGGGUGUGGUGGUGCACACCUGUAGUCUCUGCUGUUGGGAGGCCAAGGCAGGAGGAUCGUGAGUUCAAAGCCAGCCUCAGCAAUAGCGAGGCACUGAGCAACUCACUGAGACCCUGUCUCUA
rnacentral:sRNA from 1 species